rnacentral:rRNA from 1 species
AACGAACGCUGGCGGCGCGUCUUAAACAUGCAAGUCGAACGGCAGGAAGGGGCUUGCCCCUUCUGAGAGUGGCGGACUGGUGAGUAACACGUGGGUGACAUACCUUUUAGUUGGGGAUAGCUAUUAGAAAUAGUAGGUAAUACCGAAUGUGACCGUACCUGUUAGAGGGGUACGAGGAAAGGAGCUAAGGCUUCGCUAAAAGAAUGGCUCGCGGCCCAUUAUGCUCGUUGGUGAGGUAACGGCCCACCAAGGCGAUGAUGGGUAUCCGGCCUGAGAGGGUGAACGGACACAUUGGGAAUGAGAUACGGCCCAGACUUCUACGGGAGGCAGCAGUUAAGAAUAUUCCGCAAUGGACGAAAGUCUGACGGAGCGACGCCGCGUGGAUGAAGAAUGCCGAAAGGUUGUAAAAUCCUUUUAAGCCUGAUGAAUAAGAACAGUAGGGAAUGAUUGUGCGGUGACCGUAGGGCUUGAAUAAGCACCGGCUAAUUACGU